rnacentral:rRNA from 1 species
UACAGAGGGUGCGAGCGUUAAUCGGAAUUACUGGGCGUAAAGGGCGCGUAGGCGGCCUUCUAAGUCGAACGUGAAAUCCCCGAGCUCAACUCGGGAACUGCGUCCGAUACUGGCGGGCUUGAAUCCGGGAGAGGGAUGCGGAAUUCCAGGUGUAGCGGUGAAAUGCGUAGAUAUCUGGAGGAACACCGGUGGCGAAGGCGACAUCCUGGACCGGUAUUGACGCUGAGGCGCGAAAGCCAGGGGAGCAAACGGG